CCACUUGAGGCUAUUGCGCAUCGGACGUCUCAACCCGACCGAUGCACACAUCCUUGAGUGCCU
rnacentral:rRNA from 1 species